GAUGAACGCUGGCGGCGUGCCUAAUACAUGCAAGUCGAGCGAACAGAUAAGGAGCUUGCUCCUUUGACGUUAGCGGCGGACGGGUGAGUAACACGUGGGUAACCUACCUAUAAGACUGGGAUAACUUCGGGAAACCGGAGCUAAUACCGGAUAAUAUUUCGAACCGCAUGGUUCGAUAGUGAAAGAUGGUUUUGCUAUCACUUAUAGAUGGACCCGCGCCGUAUUAGCUAGUUGGUAAGGUAACGGCUUACCAAGGCGACGAUACGUAGCCGACCUGAGAGAGUGGUCGGCCGCACGGGAGCUGAGACACGGUCCAUGCUCCUACGGGAGGCAGCAGUAGGGAAUCGUCCGCAGUGGGCGAAAGCCUGGCGGAACGGCGCCGCGUGAGUGAUGAAAGUCUUCGGAUCGUAAAACUCUGUUAUUAGGGAAGAACAUACGUGUAAGUAACUGUGCACGGCGUGACGGUACCUAAUCAGAAAGCCACGGCUAACUACGUG
rnacentral:rRNA from 1 species